rnacentral:lncRNA from 1 species
CGGGAGUAAGAUAUUAUUUAUGGUUGACUUGGGGACGAGGUAUUUAAUUAUAGUUGGAUUGCUCGUCGCCUGAUCUUAGCCGUCCAUAUGCACAGAUCUCAAAUCUCAAAUACUGGAAGCAAUGUAACAAAAAAAUUUAUGGAAGUUAUAUAGGUUUUUCGGUUCGUAAGGAGAAUGAUUCAGCUCAGCCACAACUCACAGGUCAACCAUUCAGGCCAAGCCCAAGUUGGCUUGUCACCCUAUAUAUGUC